AGUGAAAUGUGUCCCUUUUAAGACAAACCAAGAAAGCCUCUGUGUAAAUGCAAAUUACCUAACUGAUGGGGGAAGAAGAAAACUACCCAUAAGUAGCAGCACAAAAAAUUUGGAAAUAAUAAAUCCAUCUGGCCAGCAAACAAGCUACUAGAAGACAAAGAUUAUGGCCCUCCAGAAGAGGGAGACACUCUACAAGCAUGCUGGCGCCAGCGAAAGAAUAACCCAGAAUACUAUGAAUCUGUGUUUUGCGUUGUUUGUGGUGUUUGUCUUGUUGCUAGCAUGACGUGGGUGGGGGGUGGCUUCAAAAGGCUGACAGGGGUGGAAAAUGUGUACGAAAACGCAAAAUGCUCAACGAGGAGGCCAGCACCUGUGUAACAGCUACCACGGUACCUGAAAAUAGAACGGCAACUAAAAUGAUGCUCGCUAAAAGUUUACCCCAAUAAACAUCACAUUGUUUGCGCCUUUGAA